rnacentral:rRNA from 1 species
UACGUAGGCAGCAAGCGUUGUUCGGAGUUACUGGGCGUAAAGCGCGUGUAGGCGGCUGGUUAGGUGUGAUGUGAAAUCCUCGGGCUCAACCCGAGAACUGCAUUGCAAACCGGCCUGGCUAGAGUGCAGGAGAGGGAAGCGGAAUUCCAGGUGUAGCGGUGAAAUGCGUAGAUAUCUGGAGGAACACCGGUGGCGAAGGCGGCAUCCUGGACCAACACUGACACUGAUGAGCGAAAGCCAGGGGAGCAAACGGG